rnacentral:rRNA from 1 species
UACGUAGGGGGCAAGCGUUGUCCGGAAUCACUGGGCGUAAAGGGCGCGUAGGCGGCUUGAUAAGUCGGGGGUGAAAGCCUGUGGCUCAACCACAGAAUUGCCUUCGAUACUGUCGAGCUUGAGACCGGAAGAGGUAAGUGGAACUGCGAGUGUAGAGGUGAAAUUCGUAGAUAUUCGCAAGAACACCAAUUGCGAAGGCAGCUCGCUGGGACGUUACUGACGCUGAGACGCGAAAGCUAGGGGAGCAAACGGG